rnacentral:rRNA from 1 species
GUGUCAGCAGCCGCGGUAAUACAGAGGGUGCGAGCGUUGUCCGGAAUCACUGGGCGUAAAGGGCGCGUAGGUGGCUUGGUAAGCGUGUGGUGAAAGUCCGGGGCUCAACCCCGGAUCUGCCGUGCGAACUGCCGAGCUCGAGCAUUGUAGAGGCAGGUGGAAUUCCGGGUGUAGCGGUGGAAUGCGUAGAGAUCCGGAAGAACACCAGUGGCGAAGGCGGCCUGCUGGGCAAUAGCUGACACUGAGGCGCGACAGCGUGGGGAGCAAACAGGAUUAGAUACCCUGGUAGUCC